AUGUCCGAUUCCUUUGGGGGGUGGAUCCUAAAGAGUUCACCUAUCCCAAUAACAAAGGAACCAGACUUAAAUGAUCCUGUAUUAAGAGUUAAAUUAGCUAAAGGGAUGGGACAUAAUUAUUAUGGGGAACCCGCAUGGCAAAACGAUCUAUUAUAUAAUUUUCUAGUAGUAAUUCUAGGUACUAUUGCAUGUAAUGUAGGUUUAGCGGUUCUCGAGCCAUCAAUGAUUGGUCAAGCAGAUCCGUUUGCAACUCCUCUGGAAAUAUUACCCGAGUGGUACUUCUUUCCCAUGUUUCAAAUACUCCGUAAGGUACCCAAUAAGUUAUUGGGCAUUCUUUUAAUUGUUGUUGUGCCAACAGGCUUAUUGACAGUACCUUUUUUGGAGAAUGUCAAUAAAUUCCAAAAUCCAUCUCUCCGCCUAGUAGCUACGACCAUUUUUUAAAUUGGUACUGUAGUAGCUCUUUGGUUAGGUAUUGGAACAACAUUACCCAUUGAUAAAUCAUUAACUUUAGGUCUUUUUUAG
rnacentral:rRNA from 1 species